rnacentral:rRNA from 1 species
UCAAGUUAUUAAGGGUGCAGGGCGGAUGCCUUGGCACUAGGAGCCGAUGAAGGACGUGAUAAGCUGCGAUAAGCUUCGGGGAGUUGCACGUAAACUUUGAUCCGAAGAUUUCCGAAUGAGGAAACUCACUUAGAGUAAUGUCUAAGUAUCGUUAAGUGAAUACAUAGCUUAAUGAGGGGAACUCAGGGAACUGAAACAUCUAAGUACCUGAAGGAAGAGAAAGAAAUUCGAUUCCGUAAGUAGCGGCGAGCGAACGCGGAUUAGCCCAAACCAAUAAAGUUUUCUUUAUUGGGGUUGCGGACAUAUCAUAACGAAGAGGUAUCGUAAUUGAAGAGGUUUGGAAAGACCCACCACAGAAGGUAAUAGUCCUGUAUGUUAAACGAGAAGACUUCAGAUAUGAUCCAGAGUACCACGGGACACGUGAAACCCUGUGGGAAGCAGGAGGGACCACCCUCCAAGGCUAAAUACUACCUAGUGACCGAUAGCGUAUAGUACCGUGAGGGAAAGGUGAAAAGAACCCCGGGAGGGGAGUGAAAUAGAACCUGAAACCCUGCACUUACAAGCUGUGGAAGCACAUUUCUUGUGUGACCGCGUACUUUUUGUAGAACGGGCCAACGAGUUACGUUAAGUAGCAAGGUUAAGCACUUAAGGUGUGGAGCCGUAGCGAAAGCGAGUUUUAACUGAGCGUUCAGUUACUUGACGUAGACCCGAAACCGGGCGACCUACCCAUGAGCAGGAUGAAGCGAAAGUAAAAUUUCGUGGAGGUCCGAACCCACGAGCGUUGAAAAGCUCGGGGAUGACUUGUGGGUAGCGGUGAAAUUCCAAUCGAGCCCGGAGAUAGCUGGUUCUCCCCGAAAUAGCUUUAGGGCUAGCCUCAAGGUGAGAGAUACGGAGGUAGAGCACUGAAUGUCCUAGGGGGUAUUGCACCUACCGAAGACUAUCAAACUCGAAUGCCGUCAUCUUAUACUUGGGAGUCAGACUGUGGGUGAUAAGAUUCAUAGUCGAAAGGGCAACAGCCCAGAUCGUCAGCUAAGGUCCCUAAAUGUAAGUUUAAGUGGUAAAGGAUGUGGGAUUGCACAGACAACCAGGAUGUUGGCUUAGAAGCAGCCACUCAUUCAAAGAGUGCGUAAUAGCUCACUGGUCGAGUGAUCCUGCGCCGAAGAUUUCCGGGGCUAAAACUUACUACCGAAGCUACGGCAUCAGUAAUGAUGGGUAGGGGAGCUUCCCAUACGGGUUGAAGCAUGACCGUAAGGACAUGUGGACAGUAUGGGAGUGAGAAUGUUGGCAUGAGUAGCGAGAUGUGGGUGAGAAUCCCACAGGCCGUAAACCCAAGGUUUCCAGGGGAAGGUUCGUCCGCCCUGGGUUAGUCGGGACCUAAGCUGAGGCCGAAAGGCGUAGGUGAUGGACAACAGGUUGAUAUUCCUGUACUACCGAUAACCGUUUGAGAGAAGGGAUGACACAGUAGGAUAAGCUAAGCACACUGUUGGUUAUGUGUGCCCAAGCAUUGAGGCAGUCAAAGUAGGCAAAUCCGCUUUGAUAAUGCUGGGAUGUGAUGGGGAGCGAAAUUUAGUAGCGAAGUAGCUGAUUUCACACUGUCAAGAAAAGUCUCUAUCGAGGUUAAAGGUACCCGUACCGCAAACCGACACAGGUGGGUGAGGAGAGUAUCCUAAGGCCAGCGAGAGAAACUGUUGUUAAGGAACUCGGCAAAUGACCCCGUAACUUAGGGAUAAGGGGUGCCACCAUCAGGUGGCCGCAGAGAAUAGGCCCAAGCGACUGUUUACCAAAAACAUAGGUUUCUGCUAAGUCGCAAGACGAUGUAUAGGAGCUGACGCCUGCCCGGUGCUGGAAGGUUAAGGGGGAUCUGUUAGAGCAAUCGAAGCAGUGAACUUAAGCCCCAGUAAACGGCGGCCGUAACUAUAACGGUCCUAAGGUAGCGAAAUUCCUUGUCGGGUAAGUUCCGACCCGCACGAAAGGCGUAACGAUUUGGGCACUGUCUCAACAACAGACUCGGUGAAAUUGUAAUUCCGGUGAAGAUGCCGGAUACCUGCGACAGGACGGAAAGACCCCAUGGAGCUUUACUGUAGCUUGACAUUGGGUCUUGGUACUACAUGUACAGGAUAGUGGGAGGCUUUGAAACCAGGACGCCAGUUUUGGCGGAGCCAUCCUUGGAUACCACCCUUGUAGUACUGGGACUCUAACCAUAGGCCAUGAAUCUGGUCUUGGGACACUGUCAGGUGGGCAGUUUGACUGGGGCGUCGCCUCCCAAAAGGUAACGGAGGCGCUCAAAGGUUCUCUCAGUACGGUCGGAAAUCGUACGUAGAGUGUAAAGGCAAAAGAGAGCUUGAUUGCAAGACAUACAGGUCGAGCAAGGAUGAAAAUCGGACUUAGUGAUCCGGUGGUUCUGCGUGGAAGGGCCAUCGCUCAACGGAUAAAAGCUACCCU